rnacentral:rRNA from 1 species
AUUGAACGCUGGCGGAAUGCUUUACACAUGCAAGUCGAACGGCAGCACGGGGGCAACCCUGGUGGCGAGUGGCGAACGGGUGAGUAAUGCAUCGGAACGUACCCAAUCGUGGGGGAUAACGUGGCGAAAGUCACGCUAAUACCGCAUACGUCCUGAGGGAGAAAGCAGGGGAUCGCAAGACCUUGCGCGAUUGGAGCGGCCGAUGUCUGAUUAGCUAGUUGGUGGGGUAAAAGCCUACCAAGGCGACGAUCAGUAGCUGGUCUGAGAGGAUGAUCAGCCACACUGGGACUGAGACACGGCCCAGACUCCUACGGGAGGCAGCAGUGGGGAAUUUUGGACAAUGGGCGAAAGCCUGAUCCAGCCAUUCCGCGUGAGUGAAGAAGGCC